GCCUGCACGCGUGUGGUGGAGCCUCGGCGGAGGGUGUGUGCCGCCCUCCCCUGGCGUAUCCAGGGAGCUGCGAGGGUCCAGACCAGCUCAUCUCAGACCAGCCUCACCCCAGGCCAGGCUGCUGAGGCCUGGGAACCACCCCUGCCCUGCUCUCGGCUUUGGGUUUUGUUUCCAGCCUUUCCUUUGGAAAAAGGCCAGCGUCCUCUCUGCUAGAAGACGGCGGGAGAGGAGUUGUUCACGCCUUGGCCUGGAUCCCUGAGGAAGAAGCCAUGUGCGGAAGUGACGAGAGCCCGGGGCCUGGAGUCUGUCUGAUCUAGGUUCGAAUCCAGGAUCUGACACUUACAAUGCUGUGUGACCCCGGAAGGCGCACACGCCUCCCGUAUAAAGCGGCACCAGCCAAAACAAACGCACAUCAGAUGCAUUUAUUUGCACAGACACUCAUAAAAACUUUACUAGACACCAAAUAAUUACAGGAAGGGGCGAACCUCCAGCUCCGCGGAUCCCCGGCGUUUUGAAGUGGAUUGAAGAUAAAGAUCAAAUAGACAGGCGCUAGCCCGCGUCACACCCAGCCAGCCCCCCCUCCCCCGGCCUGGACCCUCCCGAGGAAGGCCGGCGAACUUUCUUGCUUUUGUGAAUUUGUGUUCGAUUCAUAUAAAAUGUCUUUCUGUGAGUUA